CUCUUCCCUGAAGUUUGCCGUUCACCCCAACAGUGAAACUUUCCUAGGGGACUGCAGUAAAUAUGCGCAGCGUUUGGAAAACGAGUGCCCUGCCUCCUCCCCCAGCUCAUAGUUUAGCGGCAGGAAGUGGAAAUUUAAACCACAGGCUCCCUCUCCCCCAGCCGAGCGGACCCUGAGUGGCUCUUGGGUUCCAGACUCUGGGCACCAACUGAGGGGACAAGGAUGAAUGGGGGUUACUGUUCUCCGCGCCUGAGCCUGGCCAGGCGAAAGGUGGCCGCAAUCACCACAGAAAAAAAGAGGGGGAGGUGUGCAAAUUAACAGUGAAACAAAGGAGCUGGCAACUCACUCUCGGAGUCUCAAGCAGCCUUGCAACUCGAACAAUGUGCAAUCUAAUGACAUUACCUGCUAAGGAGACCCUAAAACUUAUCUUUUAGGAAACUCACAUUUUUUCCCCUCCGGCCCGCCCCCGCAACAGGAUUACUUAGCCUUUGUCCCAAAUGGAGUAAAAUAAAGCAUUUCUUCCCCUAUCGCUAGCGCGGAGCCGCCCUCUCCCUCCCCUCCUUGCAGGAAAUGAGAUGUGAUUAGACACGCGAGGGCUCCCAAAAAGCCGCCUCCGCGUGGGGGGAGGAGAGCGGGGCAACCCCUUGAGGAGGCGGCACCUGGCCAGCUGCGCCCCUCCGACCCCAGAGGGGUAGCCCAGGCACCCCGGUGAUCAGACCCCAAUGUGCUACUUGCCUUCGAGCUCGCGCCCUGUUCCGGAGGGUGUCAGCGGUCUCUCCCCAGUCUCCAGGGGGAGACCUGGGACCCAAAAGGGACGUACAGUUGGAGCUGGACACGGAAACCCUGGUGGCGUAGUGGCUAAGUGCUACGGCUGGUGAGCAGUUCAAAUCCACCAGGCACUCCUUGGAAACUCUAUGGGGCAGUUCUACGCUGUCCUAUAGAGUCGCUGUGAGUCGGAAUGGACCCCGUGGCAAUGGGUUUGAAGGGCGGACGCACGCCUCAGUCAGGAGCCCUGGUGGCGCAGGGGUUAAGAGCGCCGCUGUUAACCAAAAGGCCAUUGGUUCCUAAUCCACCAGCUGCUCCUUGGAAACCCUGUGGGGCAGUUCUGCUCUGUCCUAUGGGGUUGCUAUAGGGUUGCUAUGAAUUGGAAUCGACUUGAUAGUAACGGGUUUGGUUUUUUGGUUUGGCCUCAAUCAUAGGCACCUUAGUGGUUCAGUGGUUAAAGCACUUGGCCGCUAAUCAAAAGGUUGGGGAUUUGAACCUACCAGCUGCUUGCAAGAGAAAGACGUGGCAGUCUGCUUUCAUAAAGGUUUGUUGUUGUUGUUGUUAGGUGCCGUGGAGUCGAUUCUGACUCAUAGCAACCCCUAUGUACAACAGAACAAAACACUGCCUGGCCCUGUGCCAUCUUCACAAUCAUUGCUCUGUUUAAGCCCAUUAUUGUAGCCACUGUGUCAGUCCAUCCUGUUGGUUGAGGGUCUUCCUCUUUUUCACUGACCCUCUACUUUACCAAAUAUGAUGUCCUUCUCCAGAGAUUGGUCCCUCCUGAUAACAUGUCCAAAGUACAUAAAGAUUUACAACCUUGGAAAACCCGUGGGGCAGUUCUACUCUGUCCUGUAGGGUCACUGUGAGUCAGAAUCAACUCAAGAGCCACAGGUUUGGUUGGCCUCAAUCACGCUACUUACAGCUAGUGACCUCGAGCAUCUCUGUGAUUUAAAGGUGUUAUCCAGUCCCUACACUUACCAGGUAACUCAGACAUCAUUAUUAUUCUCACUUAAUAGAUGAAGAGGAAGCCCUGGUGGCAUAGGGGUUAAGAGCUACAGCUGUAACCAAAAGGUCAGCAAUUCGAAGCCACCAGGCACUCCUUGGAAACCCUACUGGGGCAGUUCUACUCUGUCCUAUAGGGUUGCUAUGAGUUGGAAUCGACUCGACAGCAGUGGUCCAAUAGGUGAAGAAGUCUCAGGGAAUGCUCAGAGGGUAAGCAACUUCCCAAGGGUCUUGUUGCUAGUUCAGUGGCAGAACCAGGAUUCUAACCCAGGCUGGUCUGGCUUCAAAGUCAAGACUAGACCUCUAAUGCCUCACCCUCCUCUUCUUCAUUCAGUGAAAAACAUGUCAGCCAGUGUCUGCACUAGGCAUCCAGGCCUCCCCAGCACCUCAGCCAACUGUCCUGGAAGAGUGUGGGCCAGGAAAUGGUUCACACUUUCUUCUGGGCUCCUGUAUGGGGACAGCUAUGAGAAGUUGACAGGGGGCAUCAGGACCAGGGUAUGGGCCCAUGACAGAGUGGUAAGAGGCCUUUUUUCUUUCUUGCAAAGCAACUUGGACAAUCUCAUCCAACACAGGUUCCUCUGAGGCUCACUGACGAGGAUGACACCAGGCUGAAACUACGAGAGGGAGGAACUGCACACUGACUUCCAGGCUUGGCUGCUUAGCUCUGGCCAAGGUGUGGGGCUGCCAAAGGUGGCAGCUUCCUGCUUCUAUAUCCGUGGACCUAGGUUAUGGGCUGAUCUCUACAUCUAAGAAUUUCCUGAAAUUGCCAAGUGACUUCCUGUGCUGGCUUCUAACUACUUUGCCCUGUGGUCCUCUUUGGGCCUCACUUUCCCCAUCUAUAAAAUGGAGACUAGACUGUCAGUUUGUCAUACUGUAGUGGCUUGUGUGUUGCUGUGAUGCUGGAAGCUAUGCCACACAUAUUUCAAAUACCAGCAGGGUCACCCAUGGUGGACAGGUUUUAACAGAGCUUCCAGACUAAGACAGACUAGGAAGAAGGACCUGGUGAUCUACUGCCAAGAAUCAGCCAAUGAAAACCUUAUGAUCGCAACAGAACAAUAUCUGACUUGCUUGCUUUGGACAUGUCAUCAGGAGGGAUCAAUCGCUGGAGAAGGACAUCAUGUUUGGUGAAGUAGAGGGCCAGUGAGGGUGAGGAAGAGACCCUUGGUGAGCUGGAUUGGCAUAAUAAUCGCAAUCAUGGACUUGAAAAUGCCAGCAAUUGCGAGGAUGACGCAGGACCAGGCAACGUUUUGUUCUGCUGUACCUAAGAUCACUGUGAGUCGGAGUCAACUCUCGGCAACUGUCUAUCUAGACUAGGACGGUCCCAUCUGACUACUUUGACUCUGUCCUGAGGUGCAGCUUGGGCUGAGCUGUUGUGUUUCCUCAGCCUGGGUGUCUGAGAGGGGUCUGUCACAAUACCUAAAAAUUCCAACCUUAAAAUUCCCUACAAUAUUCCUCUGAAGAAGGAUUUUGAACUGCAAAUGAAUUUUUCUAGGCCAUUUCACAGUGUCUGAGGAAUGGACUGGAGCCCCAGUGACACAGGGGUUAAGCUGCUAACCAAAAGGUCGGUAGUUUGAAUCCACCAGUCACUCCUUGGGAACCCUAUGGGGCAGUUCUACUCUGUCCUAUAGCGUCGCUAUGGGUCAGAAUCCAACUGACUCAAAGGCAACGGUUUUGUUUCAUUUUUUUAGGAAUGGCCAGAGUUCUGGAUGGCCAUAUUUUCUGCAUGAAACUCCAGAUUCAGAAAGUUUUGUGUUUUAAUCACUGCUGGGUGUUCAGAGGCCACCUGGAUAGUGACACCCUGGAGUUCCUUUGUGACCCCUUGGGAAAGUGGGAGAGUCUAGUACAACUUGAGGGGGGCGCUGGGGAGGCGCCCUGGUGGAACACUGCAGCGGUGGGGAAGGGAGGGGUGAUGGGGCAGAGGAGCUGACCCCCAGAAGGACACAAGAGGACAGCCAGGGUCACGCAGGGUCAACUGUAAGGUCUUAAUAACAACUAAUAUUCACUGUCUACCACCAGGUACUGUCCUUUACCUGAUUUUCUCAUUUAAUCUUCCCACAUAUUCUCUGGUAGCGCAGUGGUUAAGCUGCUAACCGAAAGAUCAAGUUCAAACCCACCUGCCACUCCAAGAAAGAAAAGACCUGACGAUUUGCUCAUAUAAAGAUUACAGCCUAGGAAACCCUAUGGGGCAGUUAGUUCUACCCUGUCCUUUAGGGUCACUAGGAGUCAGAAUCAAUAUGACAGCGCACAACAACAACAGACUCUCUAAUGUGGACCCACUGCUGUCAAUUCUGACUCAUAGAGACCCUAUAGGACAGAGUAGAACUGUCCCAUAGGGUUUCCAAGGCUGUAAGUCUUUAUGGAAGCAGACAGCUAAAUCUUUCUCCUGAGGAGAGUCUAUCUGGUGGAUUCAAACCACUGACCUUUUGGUUUGUAGCCAAACACUUAACCACUGUGACACCAGGGGUCCUUUUCUCUCUAAGGUGGAUCCUCUUAUUAUCCUCAUCUUACUGAUGGGGAAACUGAGGCAAAAUGAGGUCAAAGUAACUUUCUCCAGGACACACUUACUAAGUGGCAGAGGAUAUGCUUGGACCCACGUGGGGGAUUCCAUGCCUCCUUCCUGGCCACCUUCCACACUGCCUCCUGAGGUGUAGCUGGCCUGAGACAAGUGCCCUUCUCCCGCCAGGCCCUUCUGUCCCCUCCUGCCUGAUGCCAUGCAGACCCGAGGCCCACUCUGCUCUCAGCGUGGAAUACCAGUGCCUGCUGUGAGCUCCUCCACAGGCAAGGAGCUACCGCUGCUCACCCUCGUGCACCUUGCCUUGAAAAAAAAGUUAUUUAGAAAUAUUUGUAGACUCUUAAGGAGUUGCAAAAAUAGUACAGAGAUACUGAUGCAUAUUACACAUGGAUGAGCCUUGGAAACCUUAUGCUAAGUGAGAGAAGCCAGUCACAAAAGACCACAUAUUGUAUGAUUCCAUUUAUAUGAAAUGCCCAGAACAGGCAGAUUUAUAGAGACAGAAAGUAGAUUAAUAAUUGCUUUGGGCUGGAAGGGAUGGGGGCGGGGGCUUGGAGUGUAACUGGUAAUGGGUACAGGUCUCUUUCUGAGGUGAUAAAAAUGUUCUGGAAAUUGUUGUGAUGGUUGCACAACUCUGUAUACUAAAAGCCACUGAAUUGUACACUUUCAAUGGAUGAUUGUAUGGUAAGUGAAUUAUAUCUCAGUAAAGCUGUCCAAAAACAAAACAGCUCCUAACCAUUGAGAGGUUGAAAAAAAAAAUAGUACAGAGAGGUCCCAUGUAUCUAUCACCCACUUCCCCCUCACGGGGACAUCUUACAUUACUGUAGUAUGCUAUCAAAAACCUUCCCUCUUUAUCCCCAAGACUUUGGCCCUAAGACACCCUUCUGACCUGGAACUGAAGCCAUUCCUCGAGACCACCAUCCAGCCAAACAACAGUCAAGCCCAUAAAAUAAACAAUAACACCCAAGAGGAACGGGCUCCUUAGAACAAUCAAUUAUACUAGAUCAAAAGGACAACAUUUGCCCAAAAGCAAAGAUGAGAAGGCAGGAAAGGGUAGAAUAUUAGAAGAAAAGGAAACGGGGAACCCAGGGUGGAAAUGGGGAGAGUAUUGACACAUUGUGGGGAAUGAAGCCAAGGCCAUGAAUCACCUUAGGUACAAACUGUCAAAUGGGAAUCUAAUUUGCUCUGUAAAUGCUCACCUAAUGCACAAUUAAAAAAAAGAUUACAGCCUUGGACAUGCUCUGUGGCAGUUGUACUCUGUCCUGUAGGGUCGCUAUGAGUCAAAAUCAACUCUACUGCAACAGUUUAUGCCCAUCAAGAGGUGAAGUCUGUUUUCUCUCCCGUUAAAUCAUAGCUGUCUUUGAGACUUGCUUUGACCAACAGAAGACAAUGGAAGUGGCACUGCAAGUUCUGGAGCCUGGGCCUCAACAAAUCUUGCAUCUUCUGCUUUCUCAGGCUUGAACGCUGUCCCAAGACUGCCACGUAAGAAAGUUAGUCUAGCCUACUGGAGGAUGAGCAGUCACGUGAAGAACCCAGACGCCCCAACCAACAGCCAACACCAACUGCCAGCUAAAUGCAACCACAUGACUGAGCCCAGGUAAACCAGCAGAGGAGCCAUCCAGCCAAGCCACAGAAUCAGGAGAAAUAACUUUUUCACAUUAAAAAAAAAAAAUCCUUCCCUUUUUAAGUGUGGCUCCUGAAGGCUCGGAGCCUUUCAUUUGCUCUGCUUGGAGGUCAGAUGCUGAUAACAGCCCCUCACCAGAGCCCUGGGCUUUACAUUUUACAACACACACACACACACACUUAACCCUGUUUAUUUGAUCCUCACUCAGAUCAACCCUGUGGUCCAGGGUCACCUCAUUCCUUGUUUUUUUUGUUUUUGUUUUGUUUUGUUGGUCACAAGAGUCUUUGUCCCUGGGCUUCCUCUGUAGGGUUGACAGACUGAAAUUUUAUUUGGGAACCCUGUAAGGUAAUUAACCAAAAUGUGCCCAGCCAGUCCUGGGCCGGCCUGUUCACCGUUUGGAGAUCCCAUUAACCGCAGACUCUUAGACUCCUGGCUUAAAGGGCCCUCAACCGGCCAGACCUGGACUGGGCCUCCCAGACCAAGACCUCACUCAGGCCGGCCCUCCUCUCCCGCCUGGCGCCUCGCUCUGCCCAACGCCGGCACGGACCCCGGCCAGGCAGCACCAUUCUUUGUGCCUCAGUUUGCACAUCUAGAGGCUGGUCCUGCAGGGGCGGGCACGUACGUGGCGGUGGCGGCGGCGGACUGGAGGGAAGCCCCAGAGUGCUUGCCU